rnacentral:rRNA from 1 species
AAUGAACGCUGGCGGCAGGCCUAACACAUGCAAGUCGAGCGGAGCGGCGGAAGGGGGAGGAAGGCCUAGUGAUCAGCAUGGGAGUGAGGGAUAAAGUCGGGAAAGGGGCGAUAAUAACGCAGAAGAGAAGAGGAGCAUAGGUCGGAUUAGCUAGUUGGUGGGGUAAAGGCCUACCAAGGCGACGAGCCGUAACUGGUCUGAGAGCAUGAUCAGUCACACUGGAACGGAGACACGGUCCAGACUCCUACGGGAGGCAGCAGUGGGGAAUAUUGGACAAUGGGCGAAAGCCUGAUCCAGCCAUGCCGCGUGUGUGAAGAAGGUCUUCGGAUUGUAAAGCACUUUAAUUUGGGAGGCGUUACCAACAGAGUAAGCACCGGCUAACUUCGUGCCAGCCGCCGCGGUAAUUC